GCCCGAACGCGAAGAACCUUACCAGGUCUUGACAUCCCUUGACAACGCUAGAAAUAGCGCGUUCCCUUCGGGGACAAGGUGACAGGUGGUGCAUGGUUGUCGUCAGCUCGUGUCGUGAGAUGUUGGGUUAAGUCCCGCAACGAGCGCAACCCUUAUUAUUAGUUGCCAGCAUUCAGUUGGGCACUCUAGUGAGACUGCCGGUGAUAAACCGGAGGAAGGUGGGGAUGACGUCAAAUCAUCAUGCCCCUUAUGACCUGGGCUACACACGUGCUACAAUGGCAUAUACAACGAGUCGCUAACCCGCGAGGGUACGCUAAUCUCUUAAAGUAUGUCUCAGUUCGGAUUGUAGGCUGCAACUCGCCUACAUGAAGUCGGAAUCGCUAGUAAUCGCGAUCAGACCGCCCGUCGUU
rnacentral:rRNA from 1 species